rnacentral:rRNA from 1 species
AUUGAACGCUGGCGGCAUGCCUUACACACGCAAGUCGAACGGCAGCACGGGAGCAAUCCUGGUGGCGAGUGGCGAACGGGUGAGUAAUAUAUCGGAACGUGCCCAGUGAUGGGGGAUAGCCCGGCGAAAGCCGGAUUAAUACCGCAUACGACCUACGGGUGAAAGCAGGGGAUCGCAAGACCUUGCGUCAUUGGAGCGGCCGAUAUCAGAUUAGCUUGNGGUGGGGUAAAAGCCUACCAAGGCGACGAUCUGUAGCUGGUCUGAGAGGACGACCAGCCACACUGGGACUGAGACACGGCCCAGACUCCUACGGGAGGCAGCAGUGGGGAAUUUUGGACAAUGGGCGCAAGCCUGAUCCAGCCAUGCCGCGUGCGGGAAGAAGGCC